UCCUGGACAACAAGCUUCCUGAGGACAUGGGCCACUUAGUACAUCUUGUAUGAGCCUCUCUGCCUGUUGUUUGCUUUGCUUUCUGGGACACCCUUAGGCUAGUCUAGCAAUUCCAAACCUGCCUGGCUUGAAGAGCUGAUUCCCAUGGGAUUUUGAGGAGGGGCCAGAGGUUCUGGAAUAAUAGUAAAAAACCUACAACCAAGUGGUAGCAUCUCAGUACUCCUCUUCUUCCACAAAGUAGUCCAUCCCCACCAUCACCAAGGGAAGCCCCUAGUGGUGGCAGGCAUCUUGGGAAUUUUCCUUCAUUACGAAUUAUCCCUUGACUACCAGUGGCACUUCUUAACCUGCUCACUGCUCAUCAGAACAGCCUCCGACAGAGCUGCAUCCAAAUUCUUUAAAGGGCAAUUAAUUGCCCCAAGUAAUCUGCCAAACCUGUCUUCGUUAGAAAAUCAGUCUUCAUAUUCAGCACUGCUCAGCAGGCAGGCAUGUGAGGGGGCUGGGCUGAAAGGAGACUGCAGCAAAUGGAGAGACAGACCACAGUCCUGAGUUGGAAAACUGAGUAUCGUUGAAUGCCAGAUCUUCCAAAAUAAAUGAACUGGCUUAAUACAAUUCUAAUCAAGAUGCCAACAAGAAGAGAGUCUAUCCAGACAAAAUGAUCUUUGGAAAAUAUUCUUCACCUUGUGGAAUAAACAGGAAAGCAUGGCUAACAA